GACGAACGCUGGCGGCGUGCCUAAUACAUGCAAGUCGAGCGGAAGUUGGAGAGCUUGCUCUUCAACUUUAGCGGCGGACGGGUGAGUAACACGUGGGCAACCUGCCCUGCAGAUCGGGAUAACUCCGGGAAACCGGUGCUAAUACCGAAUAGUUUUCGCUACCUCCUGGUGGCGUACGGAAAGACGGUUUCGGCUGUCACUGCAGGAUGGGCCCGCGGCGCAUUAGCUAGUUGGUGGGGUAACGGCCCACCAAGGCGACGAUGCGUAGCCGACCUGAGAGGGGGAUCGGCCACACUGGGACUGAGACACGGCCCAGACUCCUACGGGAGGCAGCAGUAGGGAAUCUUCCGCAAUGGACGAAAGUCUGACGGAGCAACGCCGCGUGAGUGACGAAGGUUUUCGGAUCGUAAAACUCUGUUGUGAGGGAAGAACAAGUACCACUUAACUACUGGUACCUUGACGGUACCUCACCAGAAAGCCACGGCUAACUACGUGCCAGCCGCCGCGGUAACAC
rnacentral:rRNA from 1 species